rnacentral:rRNA from 1 species
AUUGAACGCUGGCGGCAGGCCUAACACAUGCAAGUCGAACGGUAACAGGAAACAGCUUGCUGUUUCGCUGACGAGUGGCGGACGGGUGAGUAAUGUCUGGGAAACUGCCUGAUGGAGGGGGAUAACUACUGGAAACGGUAGCUAAUACCGCAUAACGUCGCAAGACCAAAGAGGGGGACCUCCGGGCCUUUUGCCUCGGACUGGUCCCGAUGGGAUUAGCUUGUUGGUUGGGUAACGGCUCACCAAGGCGACGAUGCCUAGCUGGUCUGAGAGGAUGACCAGCCACACUGGAACUGAGACACGGUCCAGACUCCUACGGGAGGCAGCAGUGGGGAAUAUUGCACAAUGGGCGCAAGCCUGAUGCAGCCAUGCCGCGUGUAUGAAGAAGGCCUUCGGGUUGUAAAGUACUUUCAGCGGGGAGGAAGGGAGUAAAGUUAAUACCUUUGCUCAUUGACGUUACCCGCAGAAGAAGCACCGGCUAACUCCGUG